rnacentral:rRNA from 1 species
ACGGGUGAGUAACGCGUAGAUAACGUGCCCUCUUGCGGGGGAUACCAGUUCGAAAGGACUGUUAAUACCGCAUAACAUCUCCGAAGGGCAUCCUUUGGAGAGCAAACUGAUUCAGGGCGAGAGGAGCGGUCUGCGUACUAUUAGGUAGUUGGUGAGGCAAUGGCUCACCAAGCCUACGACGGUUAACUGGUCUGAGAGGAUGAUCAGUCACACUGGAACUGAGACACGGUCCAGACUCCUACGGGAGGCAGCAGUGAGGAAUAUUGCGCAAUGGGCGAAAGCCUGACGCAGCGACGCCGCGUGGAGGAUGAAGGCCCUCGGGUUGUAAACUCCUGUCAGUUGGGAAGAGAAUGGACGGUACCAACUGAGGAAGCUUCGGCUAACUACGUGCCAGCAGCCGCGGUAAGACGUAGGGAGCAAGCGUUGUCCGGAAUUACUGGGCGUAAAGAGCUCGUAGGCGGGAUCGUAAGUCUUAAAGGAAAUCUCAUGGCUCAACUGUGGGGCUUUUUGAGAUACUGCGAUUCUUGAGGAUGUCAGAGGAAAGUGGAAUUCCCGGU